rnacentral:rRNA from 1 species
GACGAACGCUGGCGGCGUGCUUAACACAUGCAAGUCGAACGGAAAGGCCCUGCUUUUGUGGGGUGCUCGAGUGGCGAACGGGUGAGUAACACGUGAGUAACCUGCCCUUGACUUUGGGAUAACUUCAGGAAACUGGGGUUAAUACCGGAUAGGAGCUCCUGCUGCAUGGUGGGGGUUGGAAAGGUUCGGCGGUUGGGGAUGGACUCGCGGCUUAUCAGCUUGUUGGUGGGGUAGUGGCUUACCAAGGCUUUGACGGGUAGCCGGCCUGAGAGGGUGACCGGCCACAUUGGGACUGAGAUACGGCCCAGACUCCUACGGGAGGCAGCAGUGGGGAAUAUUGCACAAUGGGCGGAAGCCUGAUGCAGCAACGCCGCGUGCGGGAUGACGGCCUUCGGGUUGUAAACCGCUUUCGCCUGUGACGAAGCGUGAGUGACGGUAAUGGGUAAAGAAGCACCGGCUAACUACGUG